CAAAAAGCUCAAGGACGUACAUACAGUAGCUCUAAACCUGCAGUGGUGUGGGGGAUGUUUCUUGACUGAUAUUGGAAGUGUAGAAUUAGCAUAAUCAGCAGUCAUUACUCCAGAGUCUCUGGACUCUUUGAUACUCUUGCUGUGAGCAGAAUGUGCUUCAACAUGCUGUGUUCCACUCAUUGAGAAAAUGAAAGAUUUGAAGAGACUGUGGAUUAAUGAUCUCCAGUUGGCCAGUUUCACUUGUGUAGGUAACAGCAGAUGGCAGAAGAGGGGCAGUCUGACAAAAUGGUGUCUGACAUGGAAGUGCGGAUGAAGCAAAGGUGUGUCACUGACUUCCUUCAUGUGGAAAAAAUGCCACCCACUGACAUUCAUCAGUGCUUGCUGAAUGCUUAUGGAGACCAAAAAGUGGAGAGCAUGUUCCCUAGCCUCACAGACCUCAGAUCUGUAGUUGAAGCACUGGAGCUGAAACCGUAUCAUUGGCACUGGGACAACUAGGCUGGACUUGGAUAAUUCCGGAAUCCUCACUGCAAGACCUGAUACAUCUUCUCAGAUGGGACAGUUAAGCAGUUUCACUAUUACUUGCUCUCCUUCUUCCCUAUUCCCCUGUGGUUGAUUCACACAAAAAUAAAUUAUCUUCAUCAGCUAUACUUUUCAUGCACAGCUCUUGGUCUAGGCUGCUGGUUUAAAAGAUCUGAAUUAAAAUCUAUUUACUUCCAGUGUCACGUUGAAAUACUGGUUUAUUUGCAGGAAAUGUUUCAUUUUGUUUUUCUUUUAGGAUUCUUUUUUCUUUCACUUCCUUUAUUUUAAGAUAUAUUUUACCACUUCCUAUUUCAGCCUUUGUAUAAGUACUUGUUGAUAAUCUAUUAUUUUUUCUAAUUAUAUUUUUAUAUCUCCUUUAUUCAGUGUACUGCUGAAGGAAAAGCAGAACAAUAAUGAAAGUAAAUGAGCUAUAUGGUUGAGAUGAAAAUUAAAUAGCCUUUCUGAAUUUGUCAGUUUUCUACAUAGUUUUUAUUUGAGAGUUUAUUAUAAAUGCAACCAUGCUGAAUUGAAGUUGUAAAGACUUGUUCUGCCUUUCCCUACUUCCUUUGUGCUUGCUUUUGUGGCUGUGGUGAAGCAUGAAGUAUUCAAUUUAAUAAUUACAUUUAAAAGAAAGUUAAUUAUACAAAGCUGCUCUGUGCCACAUCCACAUAAAUACAUUUAGUUGUCAAAUUUGCUGAAAUUUGAAUCUCCCUGGAAGAGCGUUAGUAUUACAAUUUCGCACACUUCAACAGCAGCUAUGUAAAUACUCAACUCUGAAAUCAAAUGCUAAUUUUUCCCAAGGAUUAGAUAAGUCAUGUAGCUAAUAUUUUUGUUGACUUUUAUCCCAAUAAGAUUUGCACUGUCCUACUUAUAAUGUGAAAAAAUAGAUUUCUGGUUAGGACACUUGGCAAUCACGGGGAUGUUGCAGUUCAGAUCCAGUUGUUGAUGUGUUCUCAUACAUUUUCAGUCACAUCAUGUUUUUAAAACAUGCUCAGUCAUAUUUUUAGGAUAUGUUGAUUUUUUUUUGUGUUUGGAGGUGAAGACAAUAUUUUACACAGUCAUAUAUACUGUAAGCUGCUAAAUAGCAUAUCCUUUUAAUGUGACAAAUAUCUAUACUGUUAGCUAACAUGGACAGUGCAAUCUCAUUGUGGGAGUUAAGUGAUGAGAUGAAAUAGCCCAUGAUCUUGGAAAUGUGGGUUACAGUUUCUUAGGUAUUACAGACUAUAUCACUAAUGAAGCAAUUUGUUCUGUGUCCACUCACAUUUCAUUUGCUGCCAUCAACAAUUAAGAGAUGUCGUAGUAAGGUCAUCGUAGAUUAACACCUUGUCUUUGCAAAGAUCUCAUUAAAAUAGAGAGGAAUUCUAAUUCCUAGCCAAGAUAAUGUUAAUUUGAUGAGAGAAUAAAUAUUGUGGAAGCAAUUUGUGCAAGAGAAAUGAAUGUUAAAAGUAUUAUUCUCUUUUCAAUAAAAGAAGUAAUUCUUACAUGGAAAGAUAGCCUAUUGAAAAAAAUAGUCAGACAUGUUACUGCAGGAAAUGGUUAGAUACCUUGGCCUGGUUAAGGAAGCAUGUCAUGUUGUCCGAGAUUUGCACAGAUGUGCAGAGCCAUAAAUAAAUUGAACAGAAAAUAAGAUUUCUCCCUUUGCUGGUUGCCAGUGUUACAGUUAAACUACAAAGAAAGUAAUUUCUCCAACCAUCAUACAUUUACUUCCCAGUCAUCCUCGAAUGCUUGUAACAGUGAAGGGCGUUGUAAUUGACAUUUCAUUCUAAUACACUGGCUGCCUUGCCUGAAUUUUGGCUGGUUGAUAAGGCUCUUGGAAAUCCAGAGUCUCAUCAUGUCCUGAACAAUUUCAAUCCAGCCCUAUGGCAAUCUAAGUGCUUAACCAGCAAAACAGGAAAGACAAUAUUUGGAGAUGCUACCUUUCAAAAUGCACACAGCAGAGUAACUGAAAUAAUCAAAUUGCUCCUGAAUAAUCCUUUUUCAAAUUUGAAAGCAGAAUGAAGAAAAGAUUUAAAAGAAUAUACAUGUCAAUUUAAGCAAAUAAAAUGUGCAGACAUGAAUUCAUCACAACUGUAUUGUCACUGACGUUGCAUUUCAGAUAAAUUUGAUGAUAAUAUCACAUUUUUUUAAAGGAGGAAAAAAAUCAAUAAUUUUGUCUACAGACUUUGCAUUAUAUUCCAGUUACUUGAAAGAAAAUGUCAUGUGCAUCAACUCAUUCUUCAGGAUGUACUUUCUGAAAAGAUGUGGAUAAUAUUACAUAGACUAAGGGGAACACAGCUACGUUUGAGCUGCUUUAAGGCAAUGGUCCAUGUGCAUGCCCUACCAUGUGGAACCCUGUUGAGAAUCAGUUUAUUCAGAAUCACAAAAUCACAGAAUUGCAGAAAUUGAAAGAGACCUCAAGAGAUCAUCGAGUCCAGCCUGCCCCUGCUAAAGCAGGUACCCUACAAGAGGUCACACAGGUUGCUGAUGAUGUUGAACAAGACCAGACCCAGCACUGACACCUGGGAAGCACCGGUAAUUAAAGGCCUCAAGCCAGAUUCUGUGCUGCUGAUGACAACCCUGUGAGCUCUGACAGUGAAACAGUUCUCAAUCCAGCUCACUGUCCACUCAUCUGUGCCACAUUCUCUACAUUUCAUAACCGGGAUGUUGUGGGAGACGGUGUCAAAUGCCCUACUGAAGUCACGGUACACAACAUCCACUGCUCUCCCUCCAUGUACCCAGACAGUGGUGACAUCAUAGAAGGAUAUCAGGUUGGUCAAGCAUGAUUUCUCCUUGGUGAAUACAUAUUGACAACUCUUGAUAACUUUCUUCUCUUCCAAUUGCUUGGAGAUGGCGUAAAGAGCAAGUUGUCCAUCAUCUUUCUAGGGAUGGAGGUGAGGCUGACUGGCCUGUAGUAUCCCAGAUCCUCCUUCUUGCCCUUUUUGAAGACUGGAGUGACAUUCUUUAUCUUCCAGUCUUCAGACACCUCUCCCAUUUGCCAAGACCUUUCAAAGAUUAGAUAGAUAGCAGUUUAGCAGUCAUCUCUUUUAGUUCUCUCAGCACAUUUGGGUACAUCCCAUCAGGUCCCAUGGAUUUAUGUACAUUGAUUUUUGCUAGAUUCACUCUGACCAGAUCCACCUUGAUCACUGGAAAGUCCACCUUUGCCCAGACUCUCUUACCUCCAGGGUCUGGAAUUCCAGAGGGCUAGUCUCAGCAUAAAAGACUGAAACAAAGAGGGCAUUCAGGAUCUCUGCCUUCUCAGCAUCCCCUGUUACCAAGGCACCCAUCUCAUUUAGUAGGGAACCCACAUUUUCCCUAGUCUUCCUUUUACUGUUGACAUAGUUAAAAAAAAUAUUUCUUCUUAUCCUUUUCCUCCUUUGAAGGGUUUAAUUCCAAGAGGGCCUUAGCCUUCCUACAAUUCCUGAAAACAUUCCUUACUCUUGCCACCUUUUCCCAGUUUCUUACUCUUACUGGCCCAGGAAUGGACCAGUCUUGAGCUUGGAAGAAAUUGUGUUUAAGCACCAACUAGCUCUCAUGGUUCCCCUUUCCUUCUAACACUCUAGCCCAUGGAAUAACUCCAAGUAGGUCUUUGCAGAAGUAGUUAUUUGUCUCUCGUGAAGUCCAGGGUAGCAAUUCUACUUAUUGCUUUGCUUCUCCCACACAAGAUCUUGAACUCCACCAUCUUGUGACUGCUGCAUCCCAAGCUUCUCCCACAUAUCACAUCCCUGACCAGCCCUUCCUUGUUAGUAGAAACAAGUUCAAGUAGCACACCCCUCCUAGUCGGCUCCUCCACUACUUGUGUCAGAAAGCUGUCAUCAAAGCAUUGCAGGAACUGCCUGGACCUUGUGUGACUGUCCAUGCUUCUUAACCAACAAAUAUCAGAAUGGUUGAAAUCCCUGAUAAUAACCAGUGCUGGGGAUUGCAAGGCUUCUUCCAGCUGUUUGUAGAAGGCCUCAUCCACUUCCUUCUCCUGAUCAGGUGACCUGUAGUACACAUCCACAACAAUGUCACCUAUGUUAGCACUCCCCUUAAUUCUUACCCACAAAUUCUACACUUGUUCCACCCAAGUGGAGCUCAAUACAUUCUAAUUGCUUUCUUGCAUGAACAGCAACUCCACCACUUCAUCUUGCCAGCUGGUCUUUCCUUAAGAGGACAUAGCCAUCCAUGACAGCAUUCCAGUCAUGUGAGCUGUCCCACCAUGUCUCCAUGGCUGCAAUGAAAUCAUGGCCCUGUGAUCACACACAGAUAUAUAGUUCUUCCUGUUUAUUUCCCAUGCUGUGUACAUUGGCAUAUGGGCACUUUAGGGAAGCAGAGGGUGCAGAUAUCUCUAGAGGAGUGCUGAGGGUUUAAGCUGAGCUAUUGGCAAAGGAAACUUGUUAACCUAAGUUAAAUAAUUAAAAAAGGAAGUAUCUGAGAGGUAGGCCUGAGAAGUACUGAUAAUUGCUGUCAUACCUUACAAGAAUAUUAAAAAUCAUUUGUCUGUUCCUCUUCCCACUUUAUACUACAUCAUUCACUCAAAUUUGCAUGAUGUUUUCAAUUGCUUCAUGUUGAAUAUCAGAUUAAGAAGUAUCACAUAUUCAGUAUAAUUUCUUAUCCCUUCCUGGGUGCAUCUUCAUGUUUACUGUCAUUCACACUGGAAAUUCCCAGUAAAUACAAAAAAUGUGAGAAUACCAUGAAUGUAAGUCACUGAAAGUGGUAUCUCCUGUUUACUUCCAUGGAAAACAAAACAGAUACAAAGAGCACAAUAACGCUAUUUGAUAGAGCAAAUUCUAAGCCACAAACUACUAUUUUUCAACAUGAUUACCUUUACUUUUGCCAGCAGCGAACAAGAGUUUCCAUGCCACGUUCAUAAAAUCUGCUCCAUUGGAGGCGACCUACUGCUGCUAUCACCAUUGCUGAAACACAUCACCCACCACCUCACUGCUCACAUACACUGUUUGGUCUCCAUAAGCAUUCAGCAAGUAUUGAUGAAUGUCAGUAGGUACAAUUAUUUUUGAAUGGAGGAAAUCAAUGACACACCUUUGCUUCAUAACACCCUACAGUAUUUUAUCAGACUGCCCCUCUAACGCCAUCCAGCACACAGCAACAAAAUAUAGAGUAUUGGUGGGAAGGUUCAGCCUCUACUGCUAUACAACCAACAUUCCAUGUCUGCCAUUGCAGGCCAAUGUAAUAAAAUAUGAUGCAUCACUUUUGGAGCAGCCAUCAUGCCAUGAGUAUUUUGGCUUUCAUAUAUUGUAACUGAUAUAAUAUGUUCAACUUUUCUUAAUAUAAUAGUUUAGAGUCUUAUUUUUAUUUACUAUUUUCUUUCUUGUUCCUAAGAAAGUCUUUGAAUGUUGCAACUCUCAUUAUCUAGUCUUGCUGGGAAAACCAUAAAAAAGUCAAAGCACCUAUAUAUGUAGAAAAUAUAAUAUGAAGCAAAUCAAGAAUGAAAGAUAAAGAAUUAACUCAGAAAACAAUGAGAUUUGUAUUUAAAAAAAUACAUAACUUUGACUUUUUAUUAUUAUUCACAUAUAUUCUGCCUACAAGUUCUAAACUCUUAGAAAUACUGCAGUUGAUAAUCACACAGAGCAUUCCAAAAGCACCAAUAAAUUCAGUGAAAUACUCAUGAUGGUGACCUUAUGUUAUUAGUGUUACCUCAAAAAAGUCUCAAUAUAUGUAGCUGACAGCUGUACAUGUGCAUUUUGCUUCGGUAUAUCAGAUUUUUGUGCAGAUGAAGAUUGUGUUAUGACUGUCUCUUUCAUAGGUGAUAACAGUUCUGUUUCUCUUUGAGAGGUGCAAAACACAAUUGCUCCUAUGUGAUCCACAGACCUUAUGGAUGUGGAGGGUGAAAUAUUACUUAGGACAACUGUGUAGAUGCAACAAACUAUCAGCAUUGCAUAAACCAUUCUCCAUAUUUUGUCAUUUGACAGUUUCUGAUUUAUGCUGUUUCUCCAUCCAUCUGAAGUAGGUGUUUUUGUGCUUGUGUCAUGACUCUGUGUGAGUCCAGUUUCCUUCAGACAUACUUCUGGUUCCUGGCGUUACUCUUUCACCACACAGACUGUACGGAGUGCAUUUCAAAAGCUACCCUACCAAAUAAAAUAAUGGCUAUUUCUAGAAAUGUUGGUAGACCAAACUCUUUCUGUAGGCAGUCUUAGGCCAGUUGUAAAUAUCUAUAUUUAAAAAUACAAGCAUAACUCUAGAUUCCAGAGCAGCAGAAGUAUCUCAUUGAAUCAACUCCGUCUGUUUUUAGGCAUACUUUCAUGAUUCACAAAAUGAAGUCUUAUCUAUUACUUUCUACAGACCUUGUUCUUCUUCUUGUUUUCCUUUAAAGAAGAAAAGAUGCAAAAGCGGUGGUACCUACAUGUAGAAUUCUGAAAAUAAUGGAAAUUAAGAUAAUAAAUCUCUCCUAACAAGAACAUAUAUGAUGUUUCUGCUUCUUAGAGAUAAGUCAGGUGUUUGGAAAGCUUCUUGCAAUCACUGAGUGUAGUGCUUUAGAAGUCUUGUCUGUUGAGUGAGAAAAAAGAACAAAUAGAAGGCAGGUCUUUCUUAUAUAAGGGUUUCUAACACUCAGUAUUCAUCAAAGCCUCUAUCCUGUCCAACCCUUUUACAAUGAUCUCACUUUCAUGAGAAGAAACAAGUGUUUGUUAAAGUAUUACGUCUCCUGCUAUAUAUCAAGGGUUUGUGACAAAGCCCGAACAAGUGACCAAGACACAUCUUUUAUACAUUUUCAGUCCUAAAGAAGAGACUGGACUGGGGCUUUCUUAGAGUCAUAUUCCUUGUAUCCACAAACAAGUAACGAUGUUGCAUAAAUUAGGGACUGCAUCUACCCUUUCUAAGAGAGGAAAGGAGAUGUUUUCUGUGUAAUAAAUCGGCUGCAAGACUAACUAAAUGCAUUUUGUAGUACUUUUUAUGGAGCAAGUGCAAUAUUUUUUACAGAUAAAGCAUAGCCAAGAGCAAAGGUUGAUGAUGGCUAUAUAAUUAAAGGCAUUCAAACUGUGCAAGUUGUCUGCCAACAAACGCUUUGCAAUGAAAAAGGCUCCAUAUUCAGCAACUGCUUUAAAAAUACUGUUCAAGCAUGGAUUUCCUUAAACUACCACUUGUCUGGCAAUGGCUUCCUCACCUGUGUAAUAAGAUUAAGAGAUCUACUUGAAAGCCAGAAAAGCUUUGCAAGUCAAGUGGAUAUUUGCAUAUUUUACAUUGCCAAAUACCUAAAGGAGAGAAACGUUUUCUGAAAGAUGAGGAAAACGUACAGAACACUAGAACUAGCACAAGGUUUUUAGACUCAAAGCAGCCCAAGUUCCUGAUUUUUGCCAGCUCUGCCAGCAUUGUUAAGUUAGUAAAAAAUAAAAAUAAAAAUCUGUUUGCAAUGACUACAUGAACUUUACAAACUAGUAAAUAGUUAAUAUUUAAUCUUAAAUGUACUUCGGGUUUUAAAUCAAGAGAAACUAUUUCAGUGUCUCAGGUGUCAGAUGGGGUAGCUAAUGAAGUGCUUUCUUGAGUGAUUUCUGUCACAAGCCUGCAUUCUGCAAAAUAGACCUUGGAAGAUUACAGAUACAUCAGAGGUAUCUGUAGAUACCUUUCAAGAAUAAAAAUAACAAAAUAACCUUACUGUAGUGUUUUGUGACAUUUAUUUUCUUUGAAUAGCAAAAUACACUCUAUAUCAGUUUCAAAAAUAAAAUAAAUUUUAAAAAGUGUCAAUUUUCUUAAUGUGAUUUGCUUUAUUUUGCUAGCAUGAGAUUACUGAAAUCAGUUGGAAUACCUGAAUACAUUAAAAAUAGGGGAAAUGCAAUGUGUUAUGGGCAAAAAGUUCUAUAUUGAAUAGAAAAUUAUGGUAAGUCACAAAUAUUUCUGCUUAGUCUUAUACUAAGUACAGGCAAACAGUAAGCUUUCUCUUUUAAGUCCUGCCAGUUCAGGCCAGUAGUGACCCACAGUAUACUUUUCCUGUCCAGAAUUUCUCUUGAGAAAAGCUUGCCAAUCACACAAAAUUACUUGGUGCUUUGGGGAUCUGGACAUAUACAGAUAAGGGAAUCAACUACCAAACUUAUUUGAUGUGUAUCAUAAAUCAGAAGUGAACGUUAGUCUCCCAAGGGAACAAAAAAAAAUGGCCUACUGUAUUAAAAUACUUUGAUACCUUUGAUGUUCAAUGUUUAGAGCAUGAACUAUUUUCUAAACAUCUUUGAACUGAAGCUGAAAGAUACACUACUGAAAUCUACUCUUGCCUUCCUGCCUGCUUUUUUUUUUUUUUUUUUUUAACCAGCAAGGAGCAUCAAUUCCAUCUUAGACACAGAUAUGUGAUCAUUUGGCAAUGCUCUAAAAUUCUAAUUUAAAAUUGUUAUUUUCUUCUGUGCACAGGAAGACAUUUUUUGGUGGUUUUCUUUCAGGGGAGUGAAUGGUUUUUAGUUUUUCACCAAUUGAUAUCAUGAGAGAGAAUGAAAGACUGUGUAUACAUAAGCCACUGAAUAAUCAGUGAACCCAUUUAAGAGAGAUACCUACUGAGGUCAAUGAAAUUGGCAAUCUAAUGAACAAUCUAAUAGUAUUGUUACAAGUUUUAUGGUUUCUGUUUGUAAUUAACUUUAUGUGACAUUUAUUAUAAAAAGAUCAAAAAUUAUUAGUAGCAAUUACAUUUAAUGCAGCCAUGCAAUUGCACUUAUAUACUUAUUCAACUUUUAUUUUCAUUGACUCCCUGCUUCCUAAGUUAAUGCCUCUCUAUGUAUCAAACAACUUCAAUGUUUAUGAACUUUGGCCAAUAUGAGUAGAAAGUCUUUGUUUUCAUAAUGAUUUAUUUGAAUUCAGUUCUGUGGAUUUUAUCUGGAUACAUUUCUUGCUAUAUGAGAGAAAUCUCUUGAACAAAAGGAAGAAAAAGUAAUCCUUUAUAUUGUACUCAGUUCAUAGUUUCUUUGAAGUGAUGCUGAUAAAGGCAGUUUUGUGUUUUUCAGAAUGGAUUACUAACACAGUAAUAAUCAAAGAGCUGAUUUGUGUCAGUUGUACCACAUAGGGAAGACCCUCUAACUAGAUAUUUUAGAUGUUGAUAGCAUUUAUGAUUGAGUUUUGUAUAUACUUUGUUACAGAUGUGCAUAACUGUCAAAACCCAGGUUUUGUGAAAUGCUAAAAUGAACACACAGACACUGAAAAUAUGAAAAAGUUACAAUUAUGUUAUUCACCACUGAGUUUACAAAAACAGCACAGGUGUCAUUGCCACAGCAAGUCCAUAGAGUUAGUCUGUAUGUUCCACUGCCUCGUCCUGUAGCCCUGAAGUCACAGGUGCCACUGUCAGGCUGAAACCUCCUUUCAGAUGCUCUCUGUCUGGAAGCUUCAAAUCUACUGGAGAAUUCAAAUAGAUGCGAAAAGUCUUUGCAUUUUCUCUACUCAUAUUCACACUGUUCCUUGCCAGUGCUGUCAUAGCCAUGGACUCUACAGGAACAUAAGCAAAAGUCAUUCCAUAUCAGGGAAAAGCAUGUGAUACAGUCACAACAGCCCCUUGUAAUACAAUAAGCAUAGGGCAAAGUGGCUGGAAAGCUCCAUACUGGAGAAGGAUUUGGGGGGUUAGUUGACAGCCAGCUACACAUGAGCCAGCAGUAAGCCCAGAUGUCCAAGAAGGCAUCCUGGGUUAUAUCAGAAAUAUUGUCUGCCCAGGGAAGUGGUGGAUUCACCAUCCCUGGAUGUUUUCAAGGAAAGGGUAGAUAUGACACUUAGGGACAUGGUUUGUGGGCAUGGUGGUGAUGAAUCAGUGGUUGAAUUAGAUAAUGUUAGUGGUCUUUUUCCACCUUAAUGAUUCUCUGAUCCUAUGAUCAUUAAAUAGGGAAGAUAUCUGAAUAAUAGUUCCAAGGAGGCGUAUAGCAGUUUCAGGGAGAAAACUUAUUGACAGACUGGAACAUUUUGAAAUUUCCAAAUUAAAAUUUCUGAACAAUUAUUUUAUCUGUGCAAAAAUCAUAUUUGGAUAUUUUACAACAAUCUGUGGGGAGGGCUACUGUUACUUUUGAUAAUAAUUCAUUGGUGCUUUUAUUGUUUCUUGGCUGACUUUCAACAUGUAGCUCCUACAAUGCAAGGGAAGGUAGACACGGUUUCUGUUACUACACUGAUGGAAUAUUGAAACCUGAAUUGAAGUGCAUUAGCUGAAGUCAGACAAGGUUGUGGUAGCGAUCACUAGGGAAAUUAGAAAACCUUGAAAAACUUUGAAGACAUUUUUUGCUAGGGCACCUAUGUAUUAAAAAACUGUGUCUCUCAGUUAUGAUAAAAUUGUAUUACAUAACCUGAGUGAUCUCAGGAGUUAGUAAGUGACUGAUUUUCUGUUCCCUUGGUAAGCAAUAAUUCAUGCAAACAGAUUGACUGAAGUUUUACCGUGCUAGUGUAAAGAGAAAACAGUGAAAUAUUGUUUGAGAUGUUUUUACAAGUGAAAAUGACAGCAUAUGAAGAAAUAUGUUAUAAAACAGGACAGUAUUAAAAAAGUAAAGAAAGCUAAGCUCAGUCUUUUGAAGAAAAAUAUUAAAGAAGUUGGUAGGAAAAAAAAGAACUCGUUUCAUGUACAUAGAGAGAAAACAGGCAUUAAUAACCUGCAUGUGCACAGAUCAGCAAAUUUAUGAAGAUAUGUAUGAACAGAGAACACGACUUCAAAGCCAUUUGUAAUUACAGAAUGGUUUAUAUUUAAUCCUAAAUGUAUGGAAGGGGAUAAUGAGCUGGGAAAAAAUGAAGGCAUAUCGAACUAUUCUAGCAAAAACAAGGGAAUUUUUGCCAUUUUGUGUACUUUCUAUAGGCUAGAGGGACAAAUUUGUGUAUAGUAGAGUUCCUAUGAAAUUCAGGGUUCUGAUUUGACACAUGAAGUGAAAACAUCUUGGAUGCUUUAAUUUUACUGUGAAAAACCAGCAUAUGAUAUCAUGCACAUUAUAUAUGCAUAUAAAUGAUAUUAUUUUAUGGGUUUUAUGAUCUUUGUUACUGGUAUUCCACAUCAUAAUAUCAUGUAAAGCAUUGGGAGUUAAAAGUUGAGAACAAUUAAUUCUGUUAUUUUUUAUGUAGCAGCUAAUCACAAGGCAAAAUGCUUCCUUUGAUAGGAUCUGAGAAACUGAAAAGCUUGUCUCAGAGAAGUAUUCAUCUCAGCUAAUUUUAAACACUUAUAACAUGGAAGUCUGCAUCUGAGCUAAUGGCCUUAGGCACAUAUGACCUUUCCCUGGUCCACCAUAGAUGAGAUGAGAAGAAAUCUGAAUCUAAAUCCAAAAGAGCAUUUGAAUGUGGAAGUAAAAGCCUGCAUUGUGAAGCCUGAGAGAGAAAUUUGCCCAUGCUUAAUGGUAUUAAUAAAGUUCUGGGGAAGUAGAAUUGAAAAAUUCAGAAGCUUUUUUUUUUCUUUUUUCUUUUUAAUAUCUUGAUGUCUAAGAAUAAAUAAUAAUCCUUUUUCUUUGUAUUCACUUAAAACCGUAAGUUUGCCAAGACAAUUAUUUUCUUGUUUUCCAUAGUUAAUAUUCUGCAAAGUCUUCAAUAAGGAGGUUUCACAGAUGAUUUAAGAACACUUUGAAAGUAUAAUGUACUUCUGUGAAAUGUGGAGGCUGCGAUGAAAUAUUUAAACAUCAAUGGAUUGAGAUGGAAAAUACCUAAUGGCUUUCCUUGCGGAAUCAUGCAUUGAAUAUUUUGGAUUCAUUUUAAAUCUUAGGGGAUCCACCUAACAGUUUAAUUGCUGAGAAAAAAAAUGCUGCAAUUGACAUCUAAACCAAAUUGCUUUAACCAAGUCCUGAAUUAAAAAUAUUUGUGUUUUUAUUACAGAAUAUGAAUUUCAAUAUAUCCGUAAUGGCAGAAUCCCCCAAAAAGCUAUUAACUGAGAUAACUGGCUGAGGAAAUCAACCCACUAAGCAAUUUUGUGAAAAUUAAAAUUCAUUUUCCACACAUUGUAGUGUACUGGUUCAGUAUAGCACCAGUUCAGUAUAGCACCUUUUUCUGUGAUAUUUCCCAUUUGUUAAAAUAGGAGUAGUAGUCAUCCUGUUUCUACCAGUUUAAGAGCCUUAAUAUCAGCAAAGCAAGAGUGCUGAGGAUUUGACAGACACGCUUAGGUCAUUAUUUCAUAGUGCAAAUAUUUUUUAAGUAUGUACAAGGUAAAACCAAAUGAAACAAAUCCAUUAAGCAUCAUUUUUUAUAGCUUUUCUUCCUAUUCCUUGGAAACCUCUGGGGACAGUGAUUCCACCACCUCCCUAGGCAGCCUGUUCCAAUACUUCAUCAGUCCAAGAACUUUUUCCUGAUAUCCAACCUGUUCAGCUAUCCCCCAGUUCAACUCAAAGCCGUUACCUCUUAUACUACUACUGUUACAUGUGAGAAGAGACCAGCCUCCAUCUUGCUACUUCUUCCUCUCAGACUAUUACAGAGCUGUAAGAUCUUUCCUGAGCCUCCCCCUCUCCAGACUAAACAAUCCCAGUUCCAUCAGCUGCUCCCCACAGGACUUUUGUUCCAGACCUUCCAGCAGCUUCUUUGCCCUUCUUAGGAUAUGGUCCAGGGCCUCAGUGUCUUUCUUGUAGUGAGGGGUUCAAAACUGAACGCUGUAUUUGAGGUAUGGCCUCACCAGUGCUGUGUACACGGCAAUGAUCGAUCUCAUGCCUAGUUCUGCUGACUACACUCUUUCUGAUACAAGCCAGAAUGCUAGUGUUCUUGGCUACCUGAGCACACUGUUGAGUCAUGUUCAGCUGAGCACUGGCCAAGAAUCCCAGGUCAUUUUCCACCAAGCAGGUUUCCAGCCACUCUACCCCAAGCCUGUAAUGUUGCACGUGGUUGUUGUGACCAAAGUGCAGGAUUCAGUACUUGGUCUUGUUGAAGCUCAUGCAAUUUGCCUCAGUCCAUCAAUCUAGACUGUCCAGAUACCAACGUAGAACUUUUCUACUCUCAGACAUGGUUUCAUCUGAAGAUUUACUGAUGGCCCACUUAAUCACCUUGUCCAGAUCAUCAAUGAAGAUAUUAAACAGGACCAGCACUAAUACUGACCCCUGGAGAACACCAUUUGUGACUGGUCACCAGCCAGAUUUAACUCCAUUCACCACCACACUCUGGGUCCAGCCCUCCAGCCGGUUCUCUACCCAGUGAAGACUGUACCUGUUCAAGCCAUGGACUGCCAUCUUUUCCAGGAGAAUGCUGUGGGACACAAUGUCAAAGGCUUUAUUCAUGUCUAGGUGGACUACAUCCAUAGCUUUUCCCUCAUCUACUAGGGAAUUUUUGUAGUCAUGAUCCAAAUUUUCAGAAGGUAUCUCUGUAUCCUGAUGAAGAGAUCUUUUAAAUGGCUCAUUGAAGGAGACUCAGAUUGCCUAGAAACUGAUGCGCAUUAUGGUUCCACACCCUUACUCAUAAUUUUUAUAAUUAAUAAAAAUUCAGAGAGAAACUCCUUCCAUUUUAAAUUUGCCCAUAGCACUCCUGUGCUAGAGUUUAGAAUUCUCGACUCUGAAGAUAAACGGAAAAUUAUUUUUUCUAAUUGUAUCCAGGAGCUUUUAUGUAGCAUAUUUUAAAAUGUCACAAAAUAAUGAAGUUUAGAUAAGCCAUUAAGGAAAAAACAUGUUUUUCAACUGAGUAAAGAUGCCAGCAAUUCAAACAAUAGUGCUGCAUUUGUCAGAUAAUUAGCCAAUGAUUGUCUUUUGAACUCUGAAAAUAAAUUUAGAAGGAGCAGAUAUGCUGUGCUGUAAAAUGUGAGAGCUUUCAGAGUUUUUUUUUUUUCUUCUUUUUAAGACUUUUGCUUAAAGAUUUUUUUUGAAGUGUUUUCUAACUAAGUACUUGAAUUAUGUACACAUGAAUAGCCUUUAAGGAAAUCAUACAGGUCUCUUCAACUAUAUGCUAUACAGAUUUUAAUUUUACAGAUUUUUAUUAUUUUAGUUCCACUAAAUGCUUUUAGUUAAGGUUGACCAAAAUUUUCCCCUUUGAGACCAGUUUUUAAAUUCCUUGUAAUUGCCAUAUUUAAACUGUUCAUGCUGUUGUGCCCCAUGCCAUAUGUCUACUCUGGGAUGAAUCGGUUUGGAAAAUUCCAUAAAAAUGGUUCAGUAGUUUUGCAGUAUUGACAAAAAUGCUUUUUUUUCCCCCCAUAACUAAUAUAUUAUGCUGAAGCAGUUAACUUGAAUACUGUUGUUAUUUCCUAAUGAACCUCUGUUUAUGUUGUAUUGAUGUCCUGUAGAAAUGAGUCCAAAUGAAACUUCUGAUAAAAUCUUAGUAACUUGUGGGAAUACAAGAAAAACUGUUCAGAGGAGCAGCUGUGGAGCAAGAUAAACAGCAGUAAGCAAAAGAGCAAAACAAACAAAAAUUGAUCUCUCCUCCCAGCUAUUCAUUUUACUAGGGAUCAAACUCUAUGGUCAAGUAAAAGUUUUUGAUGAACGUUACUUUAGAAUAAAUAUAUCUAAUUAAUUGAAUAGUACUUAAAACGUCAUUUCAACUCUACACAUUUAUUUUUUAGGUGCAAAUCUUUCCCAAGAAUAUUCACAGAACAGAGAAUCAGGCGUAAAACCUAUCUACAUUUACACACUACUUUUUGACAGCAACAUCUUAAAUGUACUAUACUAUUCUGACAUUUUUAAGAGAACUUUUAAGAGAAAAUACUUAUGAGUAUCUGCAGUUCAAAUUUAUGCUAUUCUUUCUUUAUGGUAACUCACAAUAUUGUACACUAACUAUCAAAAGAAAGAAAUUUGUGAUUCCCCUGCAAUAUUUGCCUUUGGAUAAAAGAGGAAAAAAAAUCUAAUGCCUUCACAGACUGUAAUAAGUCUAAAAUUCACAAACUAAACCUCUAGUUCUAAUAACAUGGAAAACAUGCUUAACUCUGGUCACUCAAAUACUUCAGGGUAAGUCCACCUUCAUCUGUUGAAUACUCUUGCAUCCUCAGCACAGUAGCCAGGAAAAUUGACUGUGUGACAUAUCCAAGGUUUUUUUUUGUUUUGUUUUUACCAUGGAAGCCACUCUGUGUUCAUGUGCCUGCUUAUCCUACUGCUUGUUGUUGGUUUAGCCUGGCAGGCAGCUCAGCACUACACAGCCGCUCAUUCUGUUUCUGCCACACUCUUCCUCGCAGUGGGAUGAAUGAAAGAAGUGGAAAAAAGGGUAAAACUCGUGGGUUGAUAUAAUUGCAGUUUAUAAAACAGGAAAGCAAGGGAAAAUAAUGAUAUUGGUCUUAGAAGCCGCUAUUUCCCCUCUCCCUACCCCCCUUCUGGACAACUCCCCCAGUUUUAUUGUUCCCUAUAAUGCCAGAUGGCAUGGGAUAUCUCUUUGGCUAGUUUGGGUCUGUUGUCCUGAUUCUGUCCCUCCCCCCAGCUUCUUGUGCACCCUCAGCUCCUCACUGGCAGAGCAAUACAAGAAGCAGAAAAAACCUCAGUGCUGUGCAAGCAUUGCUAUGCAACAGAUAAAUAAUCGGUGUGCUGUCAACAUUAUUGUCAUCUGUCUCGAUCCAAUUUAUCGAAGAGAGAGG
rnacentral:lncRNA from 1 species